UACCUCUUGGAGACUCGCGACUUCGACGAUCUUCUCCUUGAGGCGGGCGGCCUCAGCCAGGCGACCUUCCUUCGCCUGGGCGGCCUCCUUCCUAGCAUUGUUCAUCGACUCGAUGUUAGUGAUGAGCUGGUGUCCAAUCUACAGGAGCGGCCAGGGAGUCAAUAUAAAAGCUGAGGAAUAAGCUAAGCAAAGAGGCGAGAAGA
rnacentral:lncRNA from 1 species